GAUGAACGCUGGCGGCGUGCUUAACACAUGCAAGUCGAACGAAGCAUUUGCGACAGAUUUUUUCGGAAUGAAGUUGCUUAUGACUGAGUGGCGGACGGGUGAGUAACGCUUGGGUAACCUGCCUUUUACUGGGGGAUAGCAGCUGGAAACGGCUGGUAAUACCGCAUAAGCGCACAAUGUUGCAUGACAUGGUGUGAAAAACUCCGGUGGUAUAAGAUGGACCCGCGUCUGAUUAGCUAGUUGGUGAGAUAACAGCCCACCAAGGCGACGAUCAGUAGCCGAGAUGAGAGGGUGACCGGCCACAUUGGGGCUGAGACACGGCCCAGACUCCUACGGGAGGCAGGAGUGGGGAAUAUUGCACAAUGGAGGAAACUCUGAUGCAGCGACGCCGCGUGAGUGAAGAAGUAAUUCGUUAUGUAAAGCUCUAUCAGCAGGGAAGAUAGUGACGGUACCUGACUAAGAAGCUCCGGCUAAAUACGUG
rnacentral:rRNA from 1 species